AAUAAUGAUUGAUCACUGUUCAUUAUAGUUCUUAUAGAACUUUUUUACACAAAAUAGGCCCCAUAAUUCCUACAGUGGAUUUACCCACUACAGAAAUUAUAGAGCC
rnacentral:ncRNA from 1 species